rnacentral:lncRNA from 1 species
GAAAGUUUAACUCUCGGGAUAUGCGGAUGAAAUCUAGACACAUUGUUAUUUUUCUUGAAAAUGCAUCUUUUUUUGUCGCACAAUUAAAGACUUAGUAAUGCCGAAUCGAAGUCCUUUCCGGCAAAUUCGAUUUCUAAACUACAGCCCUUGAUUUGAGUAUCAUUUGUGACUUUAGAAAGCACAUUUUUAAACAUACAUGUAUACCGCACAAAGUUAC